GACCUUUCAGUUUUCCUGUAAGUUGGCCAGGGAGGGACACUGGUCUGAGAGAUUACUUAGUUUCCCUACAUGGGGAUAUUUUAGAAAAAAGCACCAAGGGGUGCACCAUUGUGCUUGUAAUACUUAACUUUGGUUAUUAGAUUGCUUGUGAGUGAAUGUGCCAACCUGAAGAGACAUUACUGUCAGUGGAUGGAUAACAUUGGUAGCAUGUGCAAGGCUCUAGGUUCAGCACGGAAGAAAAAAGCAAGUCCACUGGGUGGCCUGUGUUCUCCCACUUUAGCCCUGCUGCAGCCUCUUAACUGGACCUUCUGUGAGGACCACUGAGAAGAUGCUUCCUCCCAGGCCUGCCCUCACUGGCUCAGUUUUUAAAAAAAAUAUUUUUAGUUGUAUAAGGAUGCA
rnacentral:lncRNA from 1 species